UACACAACUCGUCCAAAGCACCCUGCCCGUCGGGCGGCUGCGGAUUAACUCAGUAGACACGGCUAAGCAUGUAGUACCGAAAGCGGAACACUGGCGGACGGGGGUUCAAAUCCCCCCGGUUCCACCA
rnacentral:tmRNA from 1 species